AUUUUCCUAGUAUAUUAGUAUAUUUGACUUCCAAUCAAAAGGACUUAAAAAAGGGAAGAUA
rnacentral:tRNA from 1 species